GGAGGAGGAGGAGGAGGAGGAGGAGGAGGAGGAGGAUGGUGGUGACGACGUAACAUACGUGCUGUUCCCUACACCGCCAACUCGAAUAAUUCACAUUGUACGUCGGGAAUGAAGUCGACCGAGCACCAUCUCUCCUCUUUUGAAAGCUCUUAUUCCGUUUUGUUCUACAUGGCCACGUAAUAAAUGAUACCGAGGAAAGUGAUUUAUUCGAAUGUUGGUGCGUUAUCAGUUGAUCUCUAUUUCUCAGAGGAUAUUUAACACACAGGAGUAAGAAAUUACAUACUUAGAUGAUUAUCGUGCAACGAACUUUUUGUCUGGCUUAAAUUUUGAAGUGUAGGAGAACGUAUUCGUACGAUUACACAUAAAGAAAGAUAGAAAUGAUCGAUGAUCUGGUUAUAGCGAGAGGUAUUUUGAUAAUACAAAUGUAAAAUCGAUAAGCGUAUACGAGCAACUACCGAUUAAUAUAACUACUAUUAGAAAACUUUUAAGCCUAUACUCAUGUAUCCUUUCAGGAUUAUAGUAAUGAAAUAAAUAAAGAAAAAGAAAGAAAGAAAAAGAGAGAGAGAGAGAGAGAGAGACGGAGAGAUUAGAGAAUUUUCUAGAGAUUAAUCAUACGUCUGAAUCGGAAAGGAAACGUAUCACCGAACAGAGAGAAAAUCUAGAAACGAAGAAAAGAUAUAAGUAAGUACUUACGUACAUACAUGCAUACAUACGUACAAACAUACACACGUAUUCUCAUAAGAAGGCAAACGAGUCCGUAAUGAGUGCAGAUAAAAUCGGUGAUAGGGUUCAUGGAGCGACGGCCACCGAAAAAUUCGAAUACGAGCCGUUAUCAGCUGGGCAUCCUCUUCCCUCGCGUCUAUUUUCAAGAAAGCGAUUUAUCCUAGCGGCGUCUGAAGUCGCCGGUUACACCGGUGCUCGUGGAAAUUUCUAUCGAAGCCGAUGUAUCUGCCGGAUAACGGCAGAUUAAUGACUCGCGGAUUGCUCGCGUUCGAAGGAGCCAACGGCAGCUACUAGUUCGAGAUUCGAAGGUGUUUCGAUCCGAGCUUAAGAUAGAAACUCUAUUGAUUUAGACCAAUUCGAAGUACUAUUUCCGCUUUUUCCCGAUCAAUCUUUAUUGCUAGAUUAAAAAUAUAAUAGAGAAAAAGUAUGAAUAGGAUUUUCUAAGGAUUCAGGUCGUCAUCCUCCGUUGGAUCUGUCGGAUCUUUUUUGCUUUUCCAGUACGG